UACGUAGGGGGCGAGCGUUGUCCGGAAUUACUGGGCGUAAAGGGAGCGUAGGCGGCUUGGUAAGUUGGAUGUGAAAUACCCGGGCUUAACUUGGGGGGUGCAUCCAAUACUGCCGAGCUAGAGUACAGGAGAGGAAAGCGGAAUUCCUAGUGUAGCGGUGAAAUGCAUAGAUAUUAGGAGGAACAUCGGUGGCGAAGGCGGCUUUCUGGACUGACACUGACGCUGAGGCUCGAAAGCGUGGGGAGCAAACAGGAUUAGAUACCCUGGUAGUCCACGCUGUAAACGAUGAAUACUAGGUGUAGGGGGUGUAAACUCCCUCUGUGCCGCAGCAAACGCAAUAAGUAUUCCGCCUGGGGAGUACGGCCGCAAGGUUGAA
rnacentral:rRNA from 1 species